rnacentral:lncRNA from 1 species
CUGUGAGCAUUCUUAGAGUCAUGAAUCAUGACGACAAAUUUAAUUCUGAGAUCAACAUCAUAAAGUAUCCAGUGACAGCUAUAAGAAGUAGUCUUCUUUUAUAAGUCGGUAAAUGGAAAGAAAAAUUGACUAGGAAGUCAUUUCCAAUCAAAAGGCAGCUCACAAGAAGACUACAUAUAUGUAUGUAUGUAUAUAUGUAAGAAGAAAGUGUGACAGAAUAAUGACCAUGGAGGUGAGGGAUAACAUGAAAUGAGCAGAAGCCGGCAGAAUACAUAGAUAAGCGAACGGAACAUCAAUCUCUUUAUAACCUCUUCUGUCUAUACUUCAAGAAUGGAUAUCCUGCAAGCCGGCUUCGUAGAGUCUCCCUUGAAAGUGGACCUCGUGAUCUAGCCUUUAUGUCCGUGGAUUGACACUGUGAUGGAUUCCCCCCAAGUUCAUUUAGAUAUUCUCUCUUAUUCAUAAAUGUCACGGUCAGCUCUGUUCUUAUAGAUACCAGAAUGGAUACCCCAAGAAUGGAUACCCCUAAGCUGAUGUAUAUACACCCUUCCUCGGUUGCGAGAUUCCUGCUCUGGUGGUUGUAGUCAUAAGAUAUACAUCGUUGCGUACACCUUGGUUGUGGGCACGCACACUACUGUUGAAUUACCACCUUGUCCAAGUGGAUGGAUGCCCUCAAUGGGAUUUGGCACAUUCUCCAUUGCUCC